ACAAAACAAUAUAAUGAAAUAUAGAGAAAUGUUGAAAAACAACAGUGGUAUAUAUAAUAUGACCCCAAUUUUUAAUCCAACACUACCUUGAUAAAUUCAGACUAUUAAUGCAAUUUUUCUUUAGGAUUCAGGACAUUCUUAAAGUGAACAGUCCAAAUUGUAUUUGCUGUCUAGAAAACCAACAGAAGUGUAGCUUAUCAAGGAAAAAGAUGAGAAGCUCCAUAAAAUUAUAAAAAGGAAGCAACAAAUUCCUGAAAAAUUUAGACCAUGUACACAAUCAAUUCAUAUUGUUCAAAGCAUGAGUCCUAAUUAAUUAGAAUAACAGCAGUAACAACUAUUAAGUACCUGCAUUUGGGAAUACUCUUAUUGCCUACCAAAAAGAAAAAUAAAACUACACCAAUUCAUAAUUUAUGCCAUGCAACUAAUGAGAAAUAUUGAGUUACUUUACAAUCCAUCAUUCACCUAUCUGAGCACAUAAUAUUUUUCAGCCCUAUGAAAUACCAAGUUCUUUAAUAGGGCAUGGAGAUCCCAAAGAUGAAUUAGACAGAAAUCUUGCCCUUAAGCAGGUCAAAACCUACUGGGUGAUCCAGGUAGGUAGACACUGACAUUGAAUGUGAUAAGCUCAACACUGAAGUUGUACAUAAAGGCUACGAAGACAGUGCAGCUGUAGGUCUUGGGUAAAUGGGAAAAGUUUUCAGAGAGGUUGAUUCUAGGCUGUCUUAAAAACUGUGAGGAGGUUGCCAAAUAGACAAAGGAGGGAAAGGCAUUCCCAGGAGAGAAUAACAGGUUCAAAAGCUUAGAGAUGGAAGAGGAUGCUUCCAAUCUGGGAAUCCCAGACAUUUUAGUAGAACUAGAAUGCAAGAUACUAGAUCUGUAGAGAAUGGGAAGAGUUGAAGUAAGCAGGGGGAAAAAGUGUCUUAAUGCUAUUCUAAAUAGUUUGGGUUUCAUAGCAGAGAGCCCAGAAAAUAUUUGGGACUGAGUAGUGACAUGAUCUCAUUUGUGUAUCAGAAAGAUUAUUCUAGGAUGAAUUUGGAGGCACUGAGGCUUAUUUUGGAGUUGGACUUAGACCUGCAGACACUUAUCACUGUUAGAUGGGCCCUUCCAAGAGAAUUUGUAAACAGAGAUCUUGCUCUCAGGAAAUUUAACAUUUAAUUCAUAGAACCCAAAAUCACAGCCUACAGAGAAAUGCACUUUCUUAAGGUAAUGUGUUCUGUUUGCCAGCACUUUGACACAAAGAGAAGUGCUGGCUUCAUAGAAAUAAUUAAUCCUCUUUUUCUGCCACUGGGAUAAACAAAGGAAAGAAAGAAAUAGAUGUUAUAAAAAAAUAAAAUCCAAGGCAGAUCAAAGGGGAUGUGGCGGAGGAUUCAGCAACUGCCACCCUUAAGCAAAGAACAGUAAUGAAGAAAUGAGUUUUGGCAGCCUAGCCAAUGGGAUAUGAAAGAAAUUAAUCCCGAAGGGAUGUAAUGACCUGAAAAAAAUGAUGAGCAAAGUCCAGAAGGAUUAGAAGAAAGAAAAAGGCAGCAGACAGAAUGGACUUCAGUGCAACAGGGAAUUAAACUGAAAUCAUUAAAUUCUUUCUGCUUAGCACUUUAGAGAAAAUUUCUAUCAGCCUGCCUAAGUGCUCACCAUGGGAAACUGAAACCAGGAAUUUAAUCUCAAAUUUCUGAAGACAUUCAGACUUAUCCAUUGUUCUAUGAAUCAGGAAUAUGUUAACAGAAGUUCUGGUUAUUGAAGAAUCUUCAGAAUGAAAAUCAAAUUAUGAAAUCCCCAGGUAAUUUGACUUCAUGGCCAGCAUUGCAUCUCAGAAUAUUUUUUAUAAGGGCUACAAAAGUGUGACUAUUAAGCUUUUAAAAAAAAUUAAAAUAUCUUUUCAGUUGUAAUAUUCCCACCAUGGGUGAAGUCUGCUGUCUGAUUGCUAGAAUUUUGGCCGAUGCCUUCUUGCACCUCUAUGAACCCGACUCCAGCCCCUCCCCUCUAAUUACUGCCCACAGUGAAGAGAGAAUUUCUGCCCACUCCCUGCAAGCCCAGGUAGGGGAGCAUUUGCCAAGAAGCCUGCCCUUUACCGCAAGUGUGCAAAGUGGCAACCGCAGCUGACAACAUCCCCAGGGGCCCUGUCUUGUGGUCUGGCCGCAGUGAGAAUUUUCUCGGCUUCCUAGGGGAGAGGGCACUGACCCAGCUUUCAGCUGGAGCCUGCUGCUGGAGAACUAAUUACUAGUGUGAAAAAAGCCUGGAUUCAGGUCAAUGUUUUCUCAAACAUUGUUUACAUUUGAUUUUAAAUCCAUACAAUGGCAGAAUUGACAUUUGCAGCUUGCUACCACAUUCAUUUGUGAGGUUUUAUGUUACUUUAUUUUUAGGUUGGAAAUGUUUGAGGAGGCAUUUAUCAUGAAAGCCGUGGCCUUUGCUCCUAAAGCUUCGUCUCACAAGUACAAUAACAAAAACUGCUAAUUAAAAGAGGGAAAACAACCAGGAGUCAAACACAAAGGGGCAUCCCUGCCUCAUCAGCACAGAACAAUCGACCGGCUCCCUUCACUGCCCAUGCGAGGCUCCAUGUGAGGAAGCCUGCUCUGCCCUUCCAGGAAGCAGGUGUGGGAAUAGAAGGAGGCACCACUCAUCUUCUGCAGAAAAGCAAAAUGAAGACAUCAUCAGAGAGCAGCACUCAUUGGAAGUAGCUCCUCGGGUUCCCUUCUAAUGUCAGGGUGAGAAUUCAGGGCUCUCUUGAGAGCACUAUUAUGUGCCUACUAUGUGUCAGGCAGAACUGGCUACAAAAUUCAAGGGGCCCAGAGUGAAAUGAAAAUGUGAGGUACCUUGUUCAAUAAUUAUGAAGAAUUCUAGGAUGGCGAGAGCAGAGCAUUAGAGGAAAGGCAAGGUCCUGUGCAGCUGCGCGGGUCACACACCCAUGCAGCCAACCCUGGUGCCAGGCACAGCUAUACCCACAUUAGCUCCUGUCUUUUACUGAAUAGCACAAUAACUCUGCAAUACUGGAGGUUUUUAACAUUAUCCAGGCUUUACAGAAGAAGCUACCGAAGCUCAGAAAGUCAUUUUAUUCAAGGCCAAUCAGCUAAUUAGAGCUCAGGUCUCCUACUAAACACCAGAAUCACAGCUAGCCACUCCACAACAUACAGAGGUCAGUAAACCACUCAACAUUGUAUCUGAACUUCCAGUCUUCCAAUAUCUGAACUCAAUCAGGUAAGUCUCCUAAACACGCCCUACCUGUUCUAUCUGUGCUUUGCUCAGUUUUCACCAAAUAGGUAUUAGCUAAAUAAACAUGUGGAUGAACACAGCAUCCAUUACAAUAGUAAUAUAAUAUUAUCAUACUUACAUUGUAUAAUAUAAUAAUGUACUUCAUUCAAUUCUCUACAUUUUUUAAAGUAUUGUCACAUAUUUUAUUUUUUUCUAGGAAAUUUUUAUUGCUGAGUGUUUUAAAUUAUACUCAUGAUUUAUAAAUUCUCACAAUUCUGAGCCUGCUAUAGGACAAGAGAUGUAUCUGCCAACAUUCAUUCAAAGUUGUUGGCUAAGCACUGUGCUAGCCACUGGGGAUGCAUGCAUAUACACAAAUGCUCUAGUGCAUUUCUUUCCCUUAAAGGCCUUGCCAUCUAACAGGACUGACAGGAAAACUACAGAAAGCACAGUAGUGUGGUAAGUGCACGAGUAGGGUAUGGACAGGCUCAGCAGGGUCUGAAAUAAAUCAGACCUGGGACUUGUGAAAUGUUUACAAAGAACAAGAUGCUUUUUAAAGGUGCAUAAAAGGUGUUUGUUUUGUUUUGUUUUUGAGACAGGGUCUCACUCUGUCGCCCAGA
rnacentral:lncRNA from 1 species